UGAAAAGCCAGCUUUGGUGCCUGUUCUGGGCCCGCUGCAGGGUAGGAAAGAUUGCCAACCUGGAUCCAACCAUUGCCAGUAUGAUUGAAAUCCCAUAUCCUCUGUGAAGUCUUUCUGACCACCACAGCUGAGAAUGUUCUCACCUCCAACAAACUUCUGUGGCCUUUGUCAUCUGUACCAUUUAUUCAAUCAUGAGAGCACUUUCGGAAAUCAUCCAAAGGAUUGGCUUCAGGUGGGACAAAAUAGCUGAGUGACUGAAUAAAUUUUCCACUUUUCCUUCAGAGGCUUUGGGAUUGUAUUGACAUAGCCUUUAUUCCUCUGAGCCAGGUUAAUUAAAUAUA